rnacentral:rRNA from 1 species
UACGGAGGGUGCAAGCGUUAUCCGGAUUUAUUGGGUUUAAAGGGUCCGUAGGCGGGCCGAUAAGUCAGUGGUGAAAUCUCGCAGCUUAACUGUGAAACUGCCAUUGAUACUGUCGGUCUUGAGUAAAUUUGAAGUGGCUGGAAUAAGUAGUGUAGCGGUGAAAUGCAUAGAUAUUACUUAGAACACCAAUUGCGAAGGCAGGUCACUAAGAUUUAACUGACGCUGAUGGACGAAAGCGUGGGUAGCGAACAGG